AUUGAACGCUGGCGGCAUGCUUUACACAUGCAAGUCGAGCGGCAGCGCGGGGGCAACCCUGGCGGCGAGCGGCGAACGGGUGAGUAAUAGAUAGGAACGUAUCCGGGAGUGGGGAUAACUAGCCGAAAGGUUAGCUAAUACCGCAUAUUCUCUGAGGAGGAAAGCGGGGGACUCGCAAGAGCCUCGCGCUCGCGGAGUGGCCUAUCUCCGAUUAGCUAGUUGGGAGGUAAAGGCUCACCAAGGCGACGAUCGGUAGCUGGUCUGAGAGGAUGAUCAGCCACACUGGGACUGAGACA
rnacentral:rRNA from 1 species